CGUGCUUAACACAUGCAAGUCGAACGAGACGAUUUAGAAGCUUGCUUCUUUCAAAUCUAGUGGCAAACGGGUGAGUAACGCGUAGACAACCUGCCGCAAAGAUGGGACAACAGUCCGAAAGGACUGCUAAUACCGAAUGUUGUAUCUCCUCCGCAUGGAAGAGAUAUUAAAGAUGGCCUCUACUUGUAAGCUAUCGCUUUGCGAUGGGUCUGCGUCUGAUUAACUAGUUGGUGAGGUAACGGCCCACCAAGGUGACGAUCAGUAGCCGACCUGAGAGGGUGACCGGCCACAUUGGGACUGAGACACGGCCCAAACUCCUACGGGAGGCAGCAGUGGGGAAUAUUGCACAAUGGGCGAAAGCCUGAUGCAGCGACGCCGCGUGAGCGAAGAAGUAUUUCGGUAUGUAAAGCUCUAUCAGCAGGGAAGAAGAAUGACGGUACCUGACUAAGAAGCCCCGGCUAACUACGUG
rnacentral:rRNA from 1 species